AGGCACUUAGGUUUAAUGAAGAAACCGCAAGACUUCAAAUCUUUAGAUGGGGGCUAGAUUCCCUCAGCGCCUG
rnacentral:tRNA from 1 species